rnacentral:lncRNA from 1 species
GAUUUGAUUUUAUUGAUUGUUGUUAAAGCAUCUCCUUCAAUGCUAACCUCUCAGAAUCCUAGUUCAUCAACAAAAAUGACCAUCUAAAAACAUGCCCUUACUUCUGCCAUGGUUGGGUUUGUGAAAUUCAACCACAGGUAAAUACAUGACUGAUAGCUUGUUUAUUUUACAUAUUUUAUGUGUUCAAAUCAAUUAAUUAUUGAAUUAAUUUAUGCUAAUUGGUGAUUUUAUAUUUACAUUAUGUUAGGAAUGAAAUUCGGAUGCCGUGUCUACACUAUAUCGAUAGAAGCAAGACUAAUAAGUCUCUAAAUUUUGCAACCCUGAACCAUCAUGCAAGAUAAAGCAACAUUCGACAAUGACAACUCCCAGUCUGUAAGGAAAUUGAUCUUUACACUUUUGAUAUGCUUAAUAUAUGUGAUGUUGUAUGAACUAUUUUGAUGCUAUUGGUUGGAAUUUAUUUGCAAAUAUUUCAGGUGCUAUAUAUUAUGAACUAGCCUUUGAGUUCUAUGCAACAUUUAGCUUCAAUAUUAUUGCCUUGCAAACUGUUGAAACUUGAGAUGUCUAUUUUCGAUUACUAGGUAAUUAUUUUAGGAUGUCGAUUUCAGAUUUUAACAUCGACAUGGGUUUCACUAACCCUGACGGUGUUCAAACUAAUUCUUACCAUAAUGCUUUAUUGGAUAUACCAAGUAAUUUCGAUGCCAGUGAUGCUUAUUCUUCUUUAACUCAAUCUAGGGAUCAUCUUUAUAAUCCCAAGACCUCUAAGGAGUUGUUAGUGCAUGAACUAGCUUUAAGGUAUAUUCAUCGGAUUUUAGCUUUUAGCUAUUCAAGUGGAAGUGAUUCAUCAUCUGUUUAACCAAUACAGAAUUAUUUUUCUUGUGGUGUAUGCAUUCUAGAUAUAAGGUUAAUUUAGGAUAUUAGUUUGCACGAAAUUUUCAUAUUGUUUUACGCUCUAAUCAACCACUCAUACUUGACUCGUAUAUUACAAAUUUAGUCUCCCAACUUUUUCUCUUUGAGGUCGAUUUUUCCUUCUUUACAUGUACGUAUACUAUGGAUCAUCUAGAUGAGAAUUGUUUGGAUACCAUGAGUUUGCUCGCCGGCACCCCUACUGUAUAUUAUUUUGUUCCUCUAGGUAUACGAACUGCUUGCAGUAAUAGGGUCUUUUGCCAACGUCAUAACUUCACUACUAGGGAGCAAGAUGAGUAGCCUCAUUCAUCUGUGGAGGCACGUUUAAGCUCAUCGAAGCCCACCUUGAGACAAUGGAGACCCAAGUCUCCAUAAUUCUCGACAUCUUGUAGAGUAGUCAUCCCCAACACUGACAACCACGUUAGAUAUACAUAGGGAGUAUACUUGUAAUAGCUCGGUUUAGACCCUAGUCAAAAUAGUGGUUUCGAGACCACAAGUCCAAGUCAAAAAAAUAUUUUAAUAUUAUUUUCUGUGCUUAUAAUAUGUGAAUUUACAUGUGUGAAAGUAUCGUAUAAAAUUUGAUCAUUUGUGUGCUUAAUUUGAUAAAAGGAUCUAAUCGCGUAAAAUGUAAAAGUUGCCUGCUGUUUGUUAAAGUGCUUAAUUGAUUUGUCUUAUUAAAGGAGAGGUCUUUAUGAUGCAAUUAAACCAUUCAAAGCAUGAGUAGACAAUUAUGGCCUUAAUAGAAUGGUUUAUUAAAUGGUUUAAUAAAAGGGAAAAUUGGUAUUUAGUAUAUUAUGUUAAUUAAAUUAAACAAAACAUGAAUUAGUUCAUUAUUUAUCAUCCAUUCUCAAAUUCAUCAAAGAAAAAGAAGAAAAAAAUAAAUCUUAGGGUUUUGACACUUUGAUUGUUGAUUAAGGUAUGUGUUUUGAUUCGUUUUUAAUAAUUUCUACGUUUUUGUGAUCGUUGCUUAGUGUUCUAUCAAGCCCAAAUCUCAAUUUCUGAUUUUUUAUGAUUUUGAAAUAUGCCAUUGAUGAAAUUGUGAGCUUUGUGAUGUUAGUUGUUGGAAAAUAAAAGAUAUGUGUUGGGUUGAUAUAUUUUGUCUUUGAAUUUUUGAUGAAUAUGAGUAAUUUGGACUAAAUUGUAGAAAGGAGAUUUUGAGGGACUAAAAUAUGAAAUAAUGAAAUAUAUGGACUUCUAUAAACACUAUGAGAAUUCAGCCUAACAUGGGUAUAUGGAGAUUAUGUGUAUUUUGUGAUUUUGUAAAUUAAGGACUAAAGUGUUAAAAUGUGAAAAUGUGAGGGGUAAUUUGUAAAAUGCCCUAAAUGUGUGUUUGUGGAUUGAUUUGAAUGAUUUGGUGAAUAAAAGAGCUAAAUUUUAAUGUGUUUAGAUCAAGAACAAAAGAAAACGAAAUUAGAUCGAGGGAAAAUGAAAGUCAUUAAAUAGUCGCUUGUUUCUGUUCAUUUCCGUACGAGGUAAGUCGAUAUACAAUAAACAUGUUUUGAAUUGAAUUAUUAUUGUUAAUGUGAUAUUGAACAUUGAUGAAUGGUUAUAUGAGUUGAGCAUGAGAUAUCCGAGAAGGUAUAGACAAAGUUUCAACGUCCGAAAGGCCCCGUACGAACCAUAGGAAUAGUUAGGAUACAUAGUCAUGACAUAGGAUUCUGAUAUGUGUUAUCGCGUAAGACCAUGUUUGGGACGUUGGCAUCGACUUAUGAUUUACAUGUAAGACCGUAUCUGGGAUGUUGGCAUCAUAUUUGAUUUCGUGUAAGACCCUGUCUAGGACAGUGGCAUCGAUAUUUGAUUACAUGUAAGACCACGUCUGGGACGUUGGCAUUGUUCGAGCUUUUCGAGCUAUCCACGUAUCCUUAUGAUUCUGAACGGUUCAACGGGCAUUCCGAGAAACGAAUAAUUAUAUGUGAUGUGUAUCCGAUUCAGGUACGUUCGAAAUGUAUACUAUGUUUGAGAAUAAAAGGUAAGUAUAUGUACAAGUGAUGAUAUAUGUUAUAAGUAUGAGAAAAUAUGCUAUAUGUGGAAAUGAAUUAGGAAUAUGUUAAAUGUAUAUGAACUAUGUGGUUUGAGAUAGUAUUUAGCCAUGGAGUAUAUUUAAUUUGAUGAUGCUUUCAUGUUUUGAAUGUUAAGUUUAUUUGUAUAUGGCUUACUAAGCUUUUGAAAGCUUACUUUGUGUGUUUUUCAACUAUUUUAUAGAUAUCAUAGCUAUCGGGGGCUCGAGGAUCAUCAAGGAUCGUCACCACACUAUCGAACCUUAUUUUGGUACCUUUUGACAUUGUGAAUAUAAAAGUAUGACAUGUAUAGGCUAAAAGUAUUUGGAUAUGUUUUGUAAUGUGAUAUGGCUAGUUUGUGUUUGAAUUUAUGGUUUGAUUUUGAUAUAUGAUAUGUGAUGCAAAU